rnacentral:rRNA from 1 species
GAUGACCGCUGCCGGCGUGCUUAACACAUGCAAGUCGAACGUACCGACUUAUUACCAGACCUUUCGGGCGAAGAUGAUAGAAGUUAGUGGCGGACCGGUGCGUAACGCGUGGGUAAUCUGCCUUUGUCAAAGGAAUAACUAUUCGAUCAGAAUAGCUAAAACCGGUAUAACAUAUUAAUAGGGCAUCCUAAUAAUAUCAAACGAUAGUGGACAAAGAUGAGCCCGCGUCUGAUUAGCUAGUUGGUGAGAUAAAAGCCCACCAAGGCAACGAUCAGUAGCCGACCUGAGAGGGUGAACGGCCACAUUGGAACUGAGACACGGUCCAAACUCCUACGGGAGGCAGCAGUGGGGAAUAUUGCACAAUGGGGGGAACCCUGAUGCAGCAACGCCGCGUGAGUGAAGAAGGCAUUCGUGUCGUAAAACUCUGUAGUAGGGGAAGAAAGAAAUGACAGUACCCUAAAAGAAAGCCGGCUA